rnacentral:pre_miRNA from 1 species
UAAAUACUCCAUCCGUCCGAAAAUACUUGUCAUCAAAAUGGAUAAAAGGAAAUGUAUCUAGACGUAUUUUAGUUUUAGAUAAAUCUCUUUUUAUCCAUUUUGAUGACAAGUAUUUUCAGACGGAGGGAGUAUUUA